UAGGGAAUCUUCCACAAUGGGCGCAAGCCUGAUGGAGCAACGCCGCGUGAGUGAAGAAGGUCUUCGGAUCGUAAAACUCUGUUGUUAGAGUAGAACAUGCGAGAGAGUAACUGUUCUUGUAUUGACGGUAUCUAACCAGAAAGCCACGGCUAACUACGUGCCAG
rnacentral:rRNA from 1 species